rnacentral:rRNA from 1 species
AUGCCACCUUUCGUGCACGACACGGAAGGCCUGCCGUUCAUGAAGCAUGGUUGUGUCUUCCGUGCGCACCGCCGGAUGAACGACAUGCUGAGACACGCUAUCCCUGAUUUAUGCCGCUUCAGCUUGGAUGAGUCUCCAUCGUGUGGAACCGGACUAGAAAGCCGCGACAAUGAUUCCCGUUGCCCACCGCUAUGGAUCGUGCCAUCCAUGAAGAACACCUGGGACUGGAACCUGGAGGAGGACAUUAGACGCAAAUGCGCUGGCCUGCAUGAUUCCAGGACCUGGAAUCAUACCAGCCGAUGGUACCAUAUAACUGGAAUUAACCCAUGCAAGUCGAAGAAGGAUUGGCCGGUGCUGCCGGCUGGCGUCAAGUUCGAUCCCACGGAUCAGGAGCUGAUCGAGCACCUUGAGGCCAAAGUCAGUGCUGACAGCGCGAGACCUCACCCUCUCAUCGAUUUGUUCAUACCAACCAUCGACAGCGAGCACGGCAUAUGCUACACCCAUCCUGAGAAACUUCCAGGUAUCACACUGAGUGGCCUAAGCAAUCAUUUCUUCCAGCGCAAUUCCAGGGCGUUCAAAAGGGGCACGUGGGCGCGUCGCAAGAUACAGUCGGAAUGCGGCAUGCACGCGAUGUGGCACAACACCAGCAAUACCUUGCCGGUGAUGGUCAACGGCCGGCAGACGGGCAGCAAAAAGGUUCUGGUGCUGCACACCAACAAGAACUUCAACCAGCAGAGGACCAACUGGGUGAUGCACCAGUACCACCUCGGGGACCUGGAGCAAGAGAAGGAGCAGGAGCUGGUCCUCUACAAGAUUUUCUACCAGACGAACACUAGGGCCAGGAGUAAAAAGAUUAUAAGCCCAGCCCAUGACGACAACGGGGCACAAAGAUCCAGCAGUUCAUAUACACGUAUCAUUAUAUUGAAAGACCGCGGCUCCUCCGAUCUUCCUGAGCUUGGGCUUCGUCGUGCCCUGGGGAUCAGUCGGGCGCACGGCAGCAGGCUCCGGGCGGCGGAGACAGACGACAAGGCGGGGGCGACGCCCCAAGAAAGCAAUGCCGCCUCACCCUUCUUCAGAGUCACUCGUCCCAGCCUCCGCAAAGGGGUGCUCCCGGACCUCAUAACGACCCUGGUGGAGCGCGGGGAUCCCUCGACCGAGUGCUCGGCGGCGGCGGCGUCAUCAGAGAGACCGUGGAAAAGCUCGGUCUACGAUGGGGGAGAGGUCUCCGCCACAUCGUCUAUGGUCGCCUCCGAGUCCUACUCUCCCUACCCCUCGGAUGGGCUCGUCUCGCGCUCCCGUUGGCUGGGUCAGCCGUGGCCGCGUGCAGGAGGUUUUGGCCAAUCCGCUCCGCGCUUCCAGAGCCAAUCCGCCUCGUCCCACUCCCGCAUCUCAGCCGUCAUACAAACCCUAGCCCCGUUUUUCCUCGAUCCCCAGUCCCCACACGCUCCUGCCUCCUCCAUCCCUCCUCCUCGCGUGACCACGGCCUCCGCCCUGCAGCCUCGCCGCCUCCUGCUAUUCCGCCUCCACCACGCUAGCCCCUCUACCUCGCCUUCCUUCUCUUCGUUGUCAAUGCGGCCUUCAUCGACCCCUGGUUCCAGAUCGGGCGCAGGGAAGAGGGAGGAGGUGGGCGACAGGGUGAAGGAGCAGGCCGGCCCUCCUGGAAGCACCGCUGCCGCUCAGCCAGGAAGGAGGCCAGGCUCGCCUCUGCUGUGCCAUGAGCGGCGGCGCCGCCUAUGCCUCCACCCCCACCUUCUUUUCCAUGCCUCUUCCUCCGCAUAG